ACAACUUUACAAGAGACUUCAGAAUAUAAGGUCUCCACAAAGGACACAGGGCCCAACACCUGAGAGGGGCCGUGGACUUAAAAGGCGGCACAUAGAUUUUGGAACCUCAAGUGAACAGGGUGAUGGGACAUCAACAGAAGAAUAUGACGCUGACUCAAGUGCAUCAACUGUGAUACUGGAUGCCUCUCCUGCUAGAAGCAGCACACCAGAAAGGGCAACCGCCGAACUGCAGAAUCUUUCUGACAAAAUCGACGAAAACAGAUCUACAGACCAGGAUAGCCAACUGGCUCAAGCAAGGCACUACAGAACCCUGCAGGAAGUGUACAAGAGACCGAAGACGAAUAAAGACGCAGUUGCCCAACUGCUCGACUUGGAAUUUGAGGCAAGAAGAGCAUUCAUCGAUUCAGACACACUCAAGGACCAGGACAGGCCUGCCAAGAUCAUUGAAGCGUAUCCAUGCUUUAAAGACCUUAACCAUGUCAUUCAUAAACACUUUCCCAGUCUCUGCACGGCAUGUGUGCUCAUCAGGCAGUGACAGUUGAGGCUGGCUGGGGUUGUCUGCUGUGCUUAUUCUGGAGUUGAUUAGGAUGGGGGUUCUCGGCGAACUUUGUAGGAUUGUCAGCAAAGACAACACUGCUUACAUUAAGGAGGUGAAGGAGCGCUGGGACACCUUCCAGAGCCAAGCGGUCUUUUACGGUAUUAUGAAAAAGAUGAUGAAGCCACCGAUGACAUUUAACACAGCCCUCAGAGGAUCCAAACACUUAUCUUCAGAGGAGGCCCCUUUCCUGCCCUGUCCUGAUUGUGGAUAAAGAAAACUGCAUGGUGGCAAUCGGGACCACCCCAGUAGCAACCUUCCCCAAGAACCCUCUGCAUGAGGGAGCCCUUUAUUUGAUGGUGUAUUAUUAUGCCCUGCACAUGACCUACCAAAAGUGCAUUUCUACUCUGCUCUCAGUCCUUCAAACAGAGGUACUGCAAGAUGAGAUCCAUGAGAGGGACACAACUUCGUCCUACAGGAAAGCCAUGGCUGAGUGGAAGAAGUGUAUUGGAGAGUAGGUUUGUCUUCAAAGCGCUUGCUUUAUGUGCCAUUGUUCUGAGUUUGUUGGCUGAUCUGGUAUGAGAAGAUGUAUCUCCGUUUAUAGAUGUUACUAAAUAAGGCCUACUUCAUUUAAGUUUUUUUUAUUUUUUAACUCAAGGACGCUAUCCUCCUUUCUCCAUUGGAUUUUGCCCUUAUGAGCGUCUCUCUCACCCCAGACUGACUAAUCUACCGUAGCCUGCCUAUGGCAAGCCGUUUUAAAAUUUAAUCCUUAUUUGCUGAUAUCAACAAUUCAGUUCUUGAUGUCAACAAUUCAAUUCUUGAUAUAAAAAAUUCAAUUCUUGAUAUCAGUAUUUGCUGUACAUUCUUGUUAUCAAGAAUUGAAUUGUUGAUAUCAAGAAUUGAAUUGUUGAUAUCAACAGUUCAU